rnacentral:rRNA from 1 species
UACGUAGGGUGCGAGCGUUGUCCGGAAUUACUGGGCGUAAAGAGCUCGUAGGUGGUUUGUCGCGUUGUCCGUGAAAACUCACAGCUCAACUGUGGGCGUGCGGGCGAUACGGGCAGACUGGAGUACUGCAGGGGAGACUGGAAUUCCUGGUGUAGCGGUGGAAUGCGCAGAUAUCAGGAGGAACACCGGUGGCGGAAGGCGGGUCUCUGGGCAGUAACUGACGCUGAGGAGCGAAAGCGUGGGGAGCGAACAGG